AUGGUUAAAGAAAAAUACCCUUCAUUCUUCUGCCCGGGCCGGUCCCGUUCAGACGCCGAGGACGUCGGGAUCUUCCUCACUGCCGUGGAAAAUCUUAAAAAACNAUCGCAAUGUGGCAUAUCCAGUUAUCUUCCAAAAUCACUUUCAUUUCCCUAUCCCCCUAAAGUUCUGGAAAGGAACAACGAGUCAGCAAGCUUCCUAGGUCUAGGUGGAAAAUGCCAGAAAGAAACGGAUGGUCCCAGGACCAAGGAGGUUCCUCCAUCAACAAAGAAAGGAAGGACAGAGGAUCAGCUGGGGGCACCAAUGCAUCUACAAUUAAUACGGAAAAAUCUACCCGACUUCCAGCCUUUUGCUUUGAUGCUCAUCAAGGAAAGGAAUAGCAGUCAUUGCGAGAUCCCAGAGAAAUGGAGGACACCAUGCUGCUCCUAACCAACCACAUUCACAUUAGUUGGGAUUCAGUUAGUUUCUGGCUGGAAUGAGAUUUACUCAACAAGGUGGUGCAGGGAGCAGAAGCCCAUGGUUCCAACCUGAUUUUCACAAAUGGCCAGCUUUGGAGUCCUGCAGAUUCCAGGGGAGUCAAGCAAGUAAACUGCUGGCUGGCUCCAAUUGCCUCCUAUGCGCCCCCAAUUUCUUAAUCAAACCAAGCCAACUCCUCAGACAAAAGCUAUGGGGGGCUACGAAGUACUUUGAGAAAAUGUUGGUUGCAUCUACUUGGUAGUUUGAUGUCCCAGAAAGCGUUAAAAGGUUCUCAUGAAGCUCUGUUCUGCUCCCCAUGUAGGUGGAAGUGGUGGAGUGGGAAAUCAGAGAAAGAGGCAUGGGUGGCAGGCUGGGGAUCCCUGAUUUGGGGAUGGGAGGCAGGUUGGAAUCCUGCCCUUGGGAGGAAGGGUUAUAUAUAGCAACAUCUUGCCUCAUAACCCCUCCUGGUGGGCACAAUACAUGAACCAUCCUAAUCCCAGCCUCAUGAGAGCAGAGCCCAAGAAAAUGACUUUUGUAUAUGCUACAACUACAGUGAUCCCUAGCAAGGUGGUCAAUAUAAGUUGUAGCCCAGAAAAAAUGAAACCAUGGGACAGUGCAUUAGAACCAUCACUCAACCCUGUAAGACAAAGACAGCAUCCAGUAAGUGCCAUAUUAUGGACUUGAGCUUCUUCACAAGUUCUAGCAGAGUACAGCUAUCGUAUAUCCUUACCUUCUCCAACCUGCAAUGGUCAUCCUCUUCCACUGAACACAGAGCUUCCAAAGGGACNCUUGUGUAGUAGUGAGCAAGGAAUAGGACACCCAGUCAGCCAGAUCAACCCCAACAAUUAAUGGGGUGACAGACAUUACAGACAAUCACUCUUACUUGUUAUAUCUGAAUUUAAUUUAAUUUAAUUAAUUACAGCUUAAGAUGGUAAUCCUUGACAUUAUAAACACUGUUUUGGUCCCAUUCUACUGUACCUAUAUGAGCUGUGGAGCUAGAAUCAUAAAAUCUAUUCAAAGAUCAGCAAGCCUUUCCUUCUGGUCAGUCUAGGAAUCUACAAGCCUGCAUCACUUUCUAUUCUUACUUGGCCUCCUAUCCAUACAUUUGUUUUAAUAACCAGAUCUGAGCCCCACAGCUUUUAAGAUCAUGUGAUUGUUUUAACUAGUAGCUAUCUAUGCUAGUAUCUAUGCAGCAAAUGUCUGUGCAGCAUGAAGGGAUUUAAAAAGAUGGUACUUUGCACUUUGAAUUGUGUGUUGUUAGAAUUUCCAAUUCUGAAAAGUUUACAGUGUCUAUGUAUAUGUAAUUUGGACUUCCAGUCCCAGACUGUGGAACACUCUUCCCCCUGAGGUGUGUCAACCUUCUUCACUUUACAUCUUUAGGAGAGCAAUAAAGACGCACCUCUUUACCCUUGCCUUUGGCUA
ensembl:lncRNA